CUCCUCUGACGUUAGCUGGCGGACGGGUGAGUAACACGUGGAUAACCUACCUAUAAGACUGGGAUAACUUCGGGAAACCGGAGCUAAUACCUGGAUAAUAUAUUGAACCGCAUGGUUCAAUAGUGAAAGACGGUUUUGCUGUCACUUAUAGAUGGAUCCGCGCCGCAUUAGCUAGUUGGUAAGGUAACGGCUUACCAAGGCGACGAUGCGUAGCCGACCUGAGAGGGUGAUCGGCCACACUGGAACUGAGACACGGUCCAGACUCCUACGGGAGGCAGCAGUAGGGAAUCUUCCGCAAUGGGCGAAAGCCUGACGGAGCAACGCCGCGUGAGUGAUGAAGGUCUUCGGAUCGUAAAACUCUGUUAUUAGGGAAGAACAAAUGUGUAAGUAACUAUGCACGUCUUGACGGUACCUAAUCAGAAAGCCACGGCUAACUACGUGCCAGCAGCCGCGGUAAUACGUAGGUGGCAAGCGUUAUCCGGAAUUAUUGGGCGUAAAGCGCGCGUAGGCGGUUUUUUAAGUCUGAUGUGAAAGCCCACGGCUCAACCGUGGAGGGUCAUUGGAAACUGGAAAACUUGAGUGCAGAAGAGGAAAGUGGAAUUCCAUGUGUAGCGGUGAAAUGCGCAGAGAUAUGGAGGAACACCAGUGGCGAAGGCGACUUUCUGGUCUGUAACUGACGCUGAUGUGCGAAAGCGUGGGGAUCAAACAGGAUUAGAUACCCUGGUAGUCCACGCCGUAAACGAUGAGUGCUAAGUGUUAGGGGGUUUCCGCCCCUUAGUGCUGCAGCUAACGCAUUAAGCACUCCGCCUGGGAAGUACGACCGCAAGGUU
rnacentral:rRNA from 1 species